UACGGGGGGGGCAAGCGUUGUUCGGAAUUACUGGGCGUAAAGGGCUCGUAGGCGGCCAACUAAGUCGGAUGUGAAAUCCCCAGGCUUAACCUGGGAACUGCAUCCGAUACUGGAUGGCUUGAAUCCGGGAGAGGGAUGCGGAAUUCCAGGUGUAGCGGUGGAAUGCGUAGAGAUCCGGAAGAACACCGGUGGCGAAGGCGGCCUGCUGGGCAGUUUUGCUGACACUGAGGCGCGAAAGCGUGGGGAGCAAACAGG
rnacentral:rRNA from 1 species